rnacentral:rRNA from 1 species
AAGGUACGCCGGGGAUAACAGGCUAAUCACCCCUUAGAGACCCUAUCGACGGGGUGGCUUGGCACCUCGAUGUUGGAUUAUCGCAUCCUGGAAUUGAAGAAGAUUCCAAGGGUUUGGCUGUUCGCCAAGAAAAGCGGUACAUGAUCUGAGUUUAGAACGUCGUGAGACAGUUUGGUCCCUAUCUACCGUAGGCGGAAGAAAACUGAAAGGAGUAAACCCUAGUACGAGAGGACCGGGAAAAGUAAAUCAAUGGUGGAUCGGUUGUUGUACCAACGGCAUAGCCGAAUAGCUACAUUUAUAAUAGAUAAUUGCUGAAAGCAUCUAAGCAAGAAACUAGCCUUAAGAUAAGUUUUCUAAAAGAUGUAAUAGAUUAUUACUUUGAUAGGUUUUGUGUGUAAGAAUUGUAAAAUUUUUAGCUAAUAAAUACUAAUGUCUUU